GUGGGGAAUCUUCCGCAAUGGACGAAAGUCUGACGGAGCAACGCCGCGUGAGUGAUGAAGGUCUUCGGAUUGUAAAGCUCUGUUAAUCGGGACGAAAGAGCCUAGUGUGAAUAAUGCUAGGAAGUGACGGUACCGGAAUAGAAAGCCACGGCUAACUACGUGCCAGCAGCCGCGGUAAUACGUAGGUGGCAAGCGUUGUCCGGAAUUAUUGGGCGUAAAGCGCGCGCAGGCGGAUCUGCCAGUCUGUCUUAAAAGUUCGGGGCUUAACCCCGUGAUGGGAUGGAAACUACAGAUUUAGAUUAUCGGAGAGGAAGGUGGAAUUCCUGGUGGAGCGGUGAAAUGCGUAGAUAUUAGGAAGAACACCAGUGGCGAAGGCGACUUUCUGGACGAAACUGACGCUGAGGCGCGAAAGCCAGGGGAGCGAACGGGAUUAGAAACCCUGGUAGUCC
rnacentral:rRNA from 1 species